UACGGGGGGGGCAAGCGUUGUUCGGAAUUACUGGGCGUAAAGGGCUCGUAGGCGGCCCACUAAGUCAGAUGUGAAAUCCCCAGGCUCAAUCUGGGAACUGCAUCUGAUACUGGUGGGCUUGAAUUCGGGAGAGGGAUGCAGAAUUCCAGGUGUAGCGGUGAAAUGCGUAGAUAUCAUUUGGAACGCCAAUGGUGAAAACAGGUAGCUGGGAGUGUGCUGACGCUGAGACACGAAAGCCAGGGGAGCGAACGGG
rnacentral:rRNA from 1 species